UGGGGAAUCUUGCACAAUGGAGGAAACUCUGAUGCAGCGAUGCUGCGUGAGUGAAGAAGGCCUUUGGGUUGUAAAGCUCUUUUGUAGGGGAAGAUAAUGACUGUACCCUAAGAAUAAGGUCCGGCUAACUUCGUGCCAGCAGCCGCGGUAAUACGAAGGGACCUAGCGUAGUUCGGAAUUACUGGGCGUAAAGCGCGCGUAGGCCGUUGAGUUAGUUAAUUGUGAAAUCCCAACGCUUAACUUUGGAAC
rnacentral:rRNA from 1 species